UAAGCAGGUAGUGAAAGCCUGGGGCUCAACCCCUUACACAUUAUCUGAACUGCAAAGCUAGAGGAUGAGAGAGGUUAUUGGAAUUCCUAGUGUAGGAGUGAAAUCCGUAGAUAUUAGGAGGAACACCGAUGGCGUAGGCAGAUAACUGGCUCAUUCCUGACACUAAGGCACGAAAGCGUGGUAGCAAACGGGAUUAGAUACCCCGGUAGUCCACGCUGUAAACGAUGGAUGCUA
rnacentral:rRNA from 1 species